CACCAACCCCGAUGGAUUAUUUGCUAUAUAAAGAUUGUGCUCUACUGACCACACCAGAAUUUGUCCGUGACAAGUCAUUGCAACAUUACUAUCGUCAACAUGUUCAAAUUGAUUGCUUUCUUCGCCAUCCUGGCCAUCACCUUUGCUGUACCUUCUCCAAACCCCAAGCCUGACCCCCUUUCUCUGAUUCAACCGGCAGCAUUGACAUACCCCGCGUAUAGUCCAAUCUCCACCUAUUCGAAUUUGGGAUACAACUACCUUCCAUAUGCGUACAACUACAACUACUAUGGAUCACCAUUGGCGUACAGGAAUCUUUAUUACUAGGAGAAGAGUUGCUCAAGAGAACAUGGACUGCGAUUGAUACAGAUUUAGGCAAAUUCUCCCUCCUGGUGGAAUUGAUAACAAAUUAUUUCUCGAUUGGGUGAAUAAAAAAUUCUAAAAACUA